rnacentral:rRNA from 1 species
GCUGGCGGCGUGCCUAACACAUGCAAGUCGAACGAGAAAGUGGAGCAAUCCAUGAGUAAAGUGGCGACCGGGUGAGUAACACGUGACUAACCUACCUUCGAGUGGGGGAUAACCUCGGGAAACCGAGGCUAAUACCGCAUAACAUCGCAAGAUCAAAGCAGCAAUGCGCUGGAAGAGGGGGUCGCGGCUGAUUAGCUAGUUGGCGGGGUAACGGCCCACCAAGGCGAAGAUCGGUAGCCGGCCUGAGAGGGCGCACGGCCACACUGGAACUGAGACACGGUCCAGACUCCUACGGGAGGCAGCAGUGGGGAAUUUUGCGCAAUGGGGGAAACCCUGACGCAGCAACGCCGCGUGGAGGAUGAAGCCCCUUGGGGCGUAAACUCCUUUCGACCAAGACGAUAAUGACGGUACUGGUGGAAGAAGCACCGGCUAACUCUGUGCCAGCAGCCGCGGUAAUACAGAGGGUGCGAGCGUUGUUCGGAAUUAUUGGGCGUAAAGGGCGCGUA